rnacentral:rRNA from 1 species
CCUACGGGGGGCAGCAGUAGGGAAUAUUGCUCAAUGGGGGAAACCCUGAAGCAGCAACGCCGCGUGGAGGAUGAAGGUUUUCGGAUUGUAAACUCCUUUUGUUAGAGAAGAUAAUGACGGUAUCUAACGAAUAAGCACCGGCUAACUCCGUGCCAGCAGCCGCGGUAAUACGGAGGGUGCAAGCGUUACUCGGAAUCACUGGGCGUAAAGAGCGCGUAGGCGGGAUAGCAAGUCAGAUGUGAAAUCCUAUGGCUUAACCAUAGAACUGCAUUUGAAACUGUUAUUCUAGAGUAUGGGAGAGGUAG